GGCACCUGGACGCCUGGGCCCUUCAGGAGACCCUGGGGGGCUCAAAGCGAGGGGUGUCGGGCGCUCGGACGCCUGGGUCCCUGCGCAGCUGGCACGGGCACCCCAGUGCCGGGGCGGAGGCCGGAGCCGCCCCAAUUUUCCGUGCGCUCUGGCCCCGAACGGGCGCCAGGAAAGAGUGAGGCCAGCGCUGGCCACGGCCGCAGCCUCCUCCGUGCCUCAGUUUCCCCCAGACAUUGCUGGUCUGCCCCGGAUGCCUGGGUCCCCUGGGAGGGCAGUGGGGUCUGAUGGGUCAGAGUGAGUGGGGUUGGGGUGCCCGGACGCCUGGGCUCUCUUGGGGGGGGGGGUCAUGGGUCAGGUCAAGGAGAAGCCGCCCGGACACCUGGGUCCUCUCUGGCUCAGGCAGGUCCCGCCGUGGGGCUGGGAGCRUCUCCAGGGCUGGCCCCAUUUGGGGCGGCCCCUUUCUGCCCCACGUUCAGCCUSGUUCUGCCCCACAUCCAGCCCGGUUUGGCCCCAUUUCUGCCCCCUGGUUCCAUCUCUCAUCCGGCUUCUCUCCAGCCCCGGUUGUUUGGGUCUGGUUCUGCCCCUGGUUUUGCCCCUGGUUCUGCCCUGGGUUUGGUCUGGUUCUGCCUCCGGUUCCAGCCUGGUUCUGCCCCUGGUCCUAUCCCGGUUCUGCCCUGGUUCCAGCCUGGUUCUGCCCCUGGUCCUACCCCGGUUCUGCCCUGGUUCCAGCCUGGUUCUGCCCCUGGUCCUACCCCGGUUCUGCCCUGGUUCUGCCCCUGGUCCUAUCCCGGUUCUGCCCUGGUUCCAGCCCAGUCCUGCCUGUGGUUUGCCCCAAGUCCUGCCCCAGCCCGGCUUGGUCCUGUCCUGCUCUUGCCCCAGUUCUGCCCCAGUUCCAGCCCGGUUCUGCCCUGGUCCUGCCCUGGUUCCAGCCCGGUCCUGCCUCAGUUCUGCCCCCCCGUUCUGCCCCGCUCCAGCCCUGCUCCAGCCCCGCUCCUGCCCCGCUCCAGCCCUGGUUCUACCCCGCUUCUGCCCCGGUCUAGCCCUGGUUCUGCCCCGCUCCAGCCCCCCUCCUGUCCAGAUUCUGCCCCCGUUCUGCCCCAGUUCCAGCUCGAUUCCAGCCCUGCUCCUGCCUCGGUUCUUCCCCAUUCCAGCCCCGCUCCAGCCCCGCUC
rnacentral:lncRNA from 1 species